rnacentral:rRNA from 1 species
UACGGAGGGUGCGAGCGUUAAUCGGAAUUACUGGGCGUAAAGCGCGCGUAGACGGUUUUUUAAGUCAGAUGUGAAAUCCCCGGGCUCAACCUGGGAACUGCAUUUGAAACUGCAUGGCUAGAGUACGGUAGAGGGAAGCGGAAUUUCAGGUGUAGCGGUGAAAUGCGUAGAGAUCUGAAGGAACACCAGUGGCGAAAGCAGCUUCCUGGACCAGUACUGACGUUCAUGUGCGAAAGCGUGGGGAGCAAACAGG